GACGCGCGGGGCUGGACGUCUGGGUCCUGACGGGCGCCCCACGGCCCUUCCCGGGGUGUGGGGAGGGCGUCUGCAUUGCAUCCGAUUCCCGGGUGUGCCGGGUGUGACUGGGGCAUGGAGGCCGAGGGGACCCUCCGCCUGGCUGAGGCUGGCUGAGAAGUCCCGGCCUUACUGGGCGAUUCCCCGGUGCGCCGGGCUGUGUCUUCCCCGGGGAACCGCGUGUUCUCCCGAGUGCUCUGCCUGCCUCCGGGCCUCGCCCAGGGCAGGUCCACGCCGUGUCAGGGGGUGUCCACGGAAACCGAGGCGGAAAACCGAGGCGGGAAGCGGGGCGCACCGAACCAUUUCUGGGAGCGUCCUCGCAAAACAGUCCAUCAGGGGCACCUUUCCCGUGAAACUGUGGUCAGCGGUUUUGCAUGUGACUAACCAUCUUCGAAAACUUUUAAGUUUCUGAACUUUGAAUUUCUUGGAUCAUCACUUGUGUUUCGACGCAGGAGGCAGCGCCGCCUCCGGAGUCCUCGCGCAUGUGAGAGAGCAGCAGGCAGUGACUCCAUCUCUGAUGUACUGCCCGGGUCUGAAUUCCUAUGAGUCUAUCAGGUGAGCAUCUCUUACCUCUGCUUAUCUCCCCCUCAUUGUUUGAGCAUUCUGGGUUAGGGUGUAGGUUUUGUUUAGUCUGAUGUGGCAAUAACAGCUUUGAGGGCACAGGAAUAAAAUAUUGGCACAGAUUUGUACAUACUUUUCAUUAGCAUAUGAUCAGAUAACAUUUGAUACUGGUGAAUUCAGCUCACAUGUCCCACAGUUCAUGUAACCUGACUGACUUUAGUUCCAGAAUACUUUUACUGUCUUUCUCAUCUCCCUGCCCGGAACUCUGCCUGGCAGUGUGCUCUCUGCAGGUCAGUUACCAUGGCGAGUGCUUUUUAUUUUCUCAUACUAUGACAUCUGCUGUUGUCUCAUCUUGAUGACAGUGUUUUUUACAAGGAAGAGAUGAACGUUUGUUUUUUUAGAAGGAAGAGAUAAGCGUCUUCAGUGAAGUGCAUCCUGGUAGUCCACACUGUUGUUUUUUCUUCUCUUGCGGGUGUGUCUUCAUCACAGCUUUCCACAUAGCUCUUUAGCGCAUUAUUUCAGGUAUAUGGUUAUUCUACCUGCCAACCAGGUUUUCAGCUCUUCAAGGAAAAAAUUAUAUUCAUCAUGUAAUUCUUAGCCUCAAAGACAUUUCCAAAUUCAUAAGGUAAGCUAUGAAAGUACUUUUAGGAGCUAAUGGGUUAAUCCAGAGGUAAGGCUAUUUUUACUGAGAAUUCUGCUCACAUCAUAAUGUAGAGUACAAAGAUGAUGCCUCCUGUACAAGAUCAGAGACCCACAACAGAAGAUGAUUUUACACUUGCUGCUGUCUGACCCAGGCUGACGGCCCUGAAAUGAUGAUAAAUGUUCCCUCACAGCGACUGGUGUCAUUUUUGGAUGUCUUUGUGAACUUCAUCUGGGAGGAGUGGCGGGACCUGAAUGAUGCUCAGAGGACCCUGUAUGGGAUGUGAUGCACAGCUCUUAACACUGCUCUUGUUUG